CUUGAUUGAGGGCGUAGAAGGUUCAGUUUUUGGAAUAAUGCUCUUUUCUCCAGUCACAUCUGAUUUCUCUUCAUCAUGUUGCUUUCUUCUUUUCAUCACCAAGAGGGUUCAAUAAGAUUCAACCGAAACAACGGUGUUUCAGCCCCAAGUAGAGCAAACAACUUCCAGCCUUAGGAGAGAUGGUUUUCUGCCAUCAAAGAGAGUGUAAGCAGAGAAUAGAAAGAGCCACGUGACUUCCAAGAAAGCCAAGGAACG
rnacentral:lncRNA from 1 species